GAUGAACGCUGGCGGCGUGCCUAAUACAUGCAAGUCGAGCGAACGGACGAGAAGCUUGCUUCUCUGAUGUUAGCGGCGGACGGGUGAGUAACACGUGGAUAACCUACCUAUAAGACUGGGAUAACUUCGGGAAACCGGAGCUAAUACCGGAUAAUAUUUUGAACCGCAUGGUUCAAAAGUGAAAGACGGUCUUGCUGUCACUUAUAGAUGGAUCCGCGCUGCAUUAGCUAGUUGGUAAGGUAACGGCUUACCAAGGCAACGAUGCAUAGCCGACCUGAGAGGGUGAUCGGCCACACUGGAACUGAGACACGGUCCAGACUCCUACGGGAGGCAGCAGUAGGGAAUCUUCCGCAAUGGGCGAAAGCCUGACGGAGCAACGCCGCGUGAGUGAUGAAGGUCUUCGGAUCGUAAAACUCUGUUAUUAGGGAAGAACAUAUGUGUAAGUAACUGUGCACAUCUUGACGGUACCUAAUCAGAAAGCCACGGCUAACUACGUGCCAGCAGCCGCGGUAAUACGUAGGUGGCAAGCGUUAUCCGGAAUUAUUGGGCGUAAAGCGCGCGUAGGCGGUUUUUUAAGUCUGAUGUGAAAGCCCACGGCUCAACCGUGGAGGGUCAUUGGAAACUGGAAAACUUGAGUGCAGAAGAGGAAAGUGGAAUUCCAUGUGUAGCGGUGAAAUGCGCAGAGAUAUGGAGGAACACCAGUGGCGAAGGCGACUUUCUGGUCUGUAACUGACGCUGAUGUGCGAAAGCGUGGGGAUCAAACAGGAUUAGAUACCCUGGUAGUCCACGCCGUAAACGAUGAGUGCUAAGUGUUAGGGGGUUUCCGCCCCUUAGUGCUGCAGCUAACGCAUUAAGCACUCCGCCUGGGGAGUACGACCGCAAGGUUGAAACUCAAAGGAGUUGACGGGGACCCGCACAAGCGGUGGAGCAUGUGGUUUAAUUCGGAGCAACGCGAAGAACCUUACCAAAUCUUGACAUCCUUUGACAACUCUAGAGAUAGAGCCUUCCCCUUCGGGGGACAAAGUGACAGGUGGUGCAUGGUUGUCGUCGGCUCGUGUCGUGAGAUGUUGGGUUAAGUCCCGCAACGAGCGCAACCCUUAAGCUUAGUUGCCAUCAUUAAGUUGGGCACUCUAAGUUGACUGCCGGUGACAAACCGGAGGAAGGUGGGGAUGACGUCAAAUCAUCAUGCCCCUUAUGAUUUGGGCUACACACGUGCUACAAUGGACAAUACAAAGGGCAGCGAAACCGUGAGGUCAAGCAAAUCCCAUAAAGUUGUUCUCAGUUCGGAUUGUAGUCUGCAACUCGACUACAUGAAGCUGGAAUCGCUAGUAAUCGUAGAUCAGCAUGCUACGGUGAAUACGUUCCCGGGUCU
rnacentral:rRNA from 1 species